rnacentral:rRNA from 1 species
GGAAAGGCGCGCGAUACAGGGUGACAGCCCCGUACACAAAAAUGCACAUGCUGUGAGCUCGAUGAGUAGGGCGGGACACGUGGUAUCCUGUCUGAAUAUGGGGGGACCAUCCUCCAAGGCUAAAUACUCCUGACUGACCGAUAGUGAACCAGUACCGUGAGGGAAAGGCGAAAAGAACCCCGGCGAGGGGAGUGAAAAAGAACCUGAAACCGUGUACGUACAAGCAGUGGGAGCACGCUUAGGCGUGUGACUGCGUACCUUUUGUAUAAUGGGUCAGCGACUUAUAUUCUGUAGCAAGGUUAACCGAAUAGGGGAGCCGAAGGGAAACCGAGUCUUAACUGGGCGUUAAGUUGCAGGGUAUAGACCCGAAACCCGGUGAUCUAGCCAUGGGCAGGUUGAAGGUUGGGUAACACUAACUGGAGGACCGAACCGACUAAUGUUGAAAAAUUAGCGGAUGACUUGUGGCUGGGGGUGAAAGGCCAAUCAAACCGGGAGAUAGCUGGUUCUCCCCGAAAGCUAUUUAGGUAGCGCCUCGUGAAUUCAUCUCCGGGGGUAGAGCACUGUUUCGGCAAGGGGGUCAUCCCGACUUACCAACCCGAUGCAAACUGCGAAUACCGGAGAAUGUUAUCACGGGAGACACACGGCGGGUGCUAACGUCCGUCGUGAAGAGGGAAACAACCCAGACCGCCAGCUAAGGUCCCAAAGUCAUGGUUAAGUGGGAAACGAUGUGGGAAGGCCCAGACAGCCAGGAUGUUGGCUUAGAAGCAGCCAUCAUUUAAAGAAAGCGUAAUAGCUCACUGGUCGAGUCGGCCUGCGCGGAAGAUGUAACGGGGCUAAACCAUGCACCGAAGCUGCGGCAGCGACGCUGAUGCGUUGUUGGGUAGGGGAGCGUUCUGUAAGCCUGUGAAGGUGUGCUGUGAGGCAUGCUGGAGGUAUCAGAAGUGCGAAUGCUGACAUAAGUAACGAUAAAGCGGGUGAAAAGCCCGCUCGCCGGAAGACCAAGGGUUCCUGUCCAACGUUAAUCGGGGCAGGGUGAGUCGACCCCUAAGGCGAGGCCGAAAGGCGUAGUCGAUGGGAAACAGGUUAAUAUUCCUGUACUUGGUGUUACUGCGAAGGGGGGACGGAGAAGGCUAUGUUGGCCGGGCGACGGUUGUCCCGGUUUAAGCGUGUAGGCUGGUUUUCCAGGCAAAUCCGGAAAACUAAGGCUGAGGCGUGAUGACGAGGCACUACGGUGCUGAAGCAACAAAUGCCCUGCUUCCAGGAAAAGCCUCUAAGCAUCAGGUAACAUCAAAUCGUACCCCAAACCGACACAGGUGGUCAGGUAGAGAAUACCAAGGCGCUUGAGAGAACUCGGGUGAAGGAACUAGGCAAAAUGGUGCCGUAACUUCGGGAGAAGGCACGCUGAUAUGUAGGUGAAGUCCCUCGCGGAUGGAGCUGAAAUCAGUCGAAGAUACCAGCUGGCUGCAACUGUUUAUUAAAAACACAGCACUGUGCAAACACGAAAGUGGACGUAUACGGUGUGACGCCUGCCCGGUGCCGGAAGGUUAAUUGAUGGGGUCAGCGCAAGCGAAGCUCUUGAUCGAAGCCCCGGUAAACGGCGGCCGUAACUAUAACGGUCCUAAGGUAGCGAAAUUCCUUGUCGGGUAAGUUCCGACCUGCACGAAUGGCGUAAUGAUGGCCAGGCUGUCUCCACCCGAGACUCAGUGAAAUUGAACUCGCUGUGAAGAUGCAGUGUACCCGCGGCAAGACGGAAAGACCCCGUGAACCUUUACUAUAGCUUGACACUGAACAUUGAGCCUUGAUGUGUAGGAUAGGUGGGAGGCUUUGAAGUGUGGACGCCAGUCUGCAUGGAGCCGACCUUGAAAUACCACCCUUUAAUGUUUGAUGUUCUAACGUUGACCCGUAAUCCGGGUUGCGGACAGUGUCUGGUGGGUAGUUUGACUGGGGCGGUCUCCUCCUAAAGAGUAACGGAGGAGCACGAAGGUUGGCUAAUCCUGGUCGGACAUCAGGAGGUUAGUGCAAUGGCAUAAGCCAGCUUGACUGCGAGCGUGACGGCGCGAGCAGGUGCGAAAGCAGGUCAUAGUGAUCCGGUGGUUCUGAAUGGAAGGGCCAUCGCUCAACGGAUAAAAGGUACUCCGGGGAUAACAGGCUGAUACCGCCCAAGAGUUCAUAUCGACGGCGGUGUUUGGCACCUCGAUGUCGGCUCAUCACAUCCUGGGGCUGAAGUAGGUCCCAAGGGUAUGGCUGUUCGCCAUUUAAAGUGGUACGCGAGCUGGGUUUAGAACGUCGUGAGACAGUUCGGUCCCUAUCUGCCGUGGGCGCUGGAGAACUGAGGGGGGCUGCUCCUAGUACGAGAGGACCGGAGUGGACGCAUCACUGGUGUUCGGGUUGUCAUGCCAAUGGCACUGCCCGGUAGCUAAAUGCGGAAGAGAUAAGUGCUGAAAGCAUCUAAGCACGAAACUUGCCCCGAGAUGAGUUCUCCCUGACUCCUUGAGAGUCCUGAAGGAACGUUGAAG